GACGAACGCUGGCGGCGUGCCUAAUACAUGCAAGUCGAGCGCAGUUUUUCUGGUUUUUGCACCGGAAAAACUUAGCGGCGAACGGGUGAGUCACACGUAACGAACCUGCCUCAUAGACUUGGCCAUCUAUUGGAAUCGAUAGCUAAUCCCGGAUAAUAGCAUUACCUGCAUUGUUGUUGUUUUAUAGUUUGUUUUGCUAACACUAUGAGAUUGCUUUGCGUUGCAUUAGCUAGUUGGUGGGGUAAAGGCCUACCAAGGCGACGAAGCAUAGCCGACCUGAGAGGGGGAUCGGCAAAACGGGAACUGGGACACGGCCAAGACGCCUACGGGAGGCAGCAGAAGGGAAUCUUCGGCAAGGAGCGAAAGCAUGACGGAGCAACGCCGCUGGAUGGAAGAAGGAUUUGGGUUGGAAAAGCUCGGUUGUAAGGGAAGAAGGAUGGGGGAGUAAAAAGACAAAGUAGAGACGGUACCUAACCAGAAAGCGACGGCUAACUACGUG
rnacentral:rRNA from 1 species